CUUGUCCCGCUCCUCCGACCACGACGAGCUCCGAGACCGGCUCUGUGCCGCCGCUACCACCACAGCACCCGCCACCCCCUUCGGCUACACCACGCCGCCCCCGAACACCUCCUCGUCGGGCUGACACCGGCUUCGAUGCGCGGGCGGCGCUUGAGCGCGAGCACCGCGGCAGGUCGGACGGUGCGCAGCCGCAUCUGGUGAACAUCCAGUUCCAGAUGAAGGUGCAGUUGGAGCUUGUUGCGCUCUACAUGGAUUUCAAGCUCGGCUAGAGCUACACGCUGAGAAAGAUCUCCAUCCGGGCUGGGGAUGGCUUCCACAACCUCGAGGAAAUUAAAACUGUGGAGCUUGCAAAGUCUGUUGGUUGGGUCCAUAUAUCAU